UUCCAGUUUACAUCAAUAUCUAUUUGGGUGGGGUGAUAAGGCACAAUCAAUAAGAAGCAAUACUGGAGGCUAAUAAGAAAGCUUCCUAUCGGAGGCCUUACACAAAUCGCCAUAUAAGCGUGUUAUGCAGCCAGUUUUGGAAUUCCUUAGGCAUCAAGCUAUCUACAACAUUAUAGUUUCUUUCAUGGAUCUGAAUCAACUUGAAGUGCAAGGCCCCAAGAUAUCAUUGGCUACGAUAACAAAGCUAGACUAAUGGGACAUUAGAAGCUGCAAUAAAACUACAUACACUUAAGCGGCUUUGUAAAAUAGUAAUUACUUUGUAUGCAAGUAAUAAUGAUGUAAGCAAUGGUGUCAUAGGUCCUUAGAAAGUCCUAUAAAUAGGGUAUAUGCAUUGUAAGGGUGUGAAUAUCCCUAGUCUUAAGCUUGAGUCUUGAGAUAAGAUUUUGGGGAAUCUUGAACAAGGCUAGGGAUAUUCAAGGAGAAAGGGUGAAGGAGUCUGUAGAUGAGUUUGUAUUUUCCAAACUCAUCCUAAGACUCAUGCGUGGGCCUUACCAAGUAUUUAACAACACUUUUUUUUGGUUUCCUUUCCCCACACUGCAUUUUUUUGUUUGUUUAAGCUCCAAUCCAAAGGAGAGCAAACUGAAACAACACAACCAAAUUGACAAAGAUGAUGAGGGUCGUUUUUCAGUAUCUUUGAAACUUCAAAAGGAUGUGAUGCACACUUGUUUGCACAAUCCUCUUCACAUGCUGGAUCCAUGACUGGUGGCCCUGGCGGUGGCCCUCCAAAACGAAGACAAUAUGAAAGAGCACACUUCAGAAAACACCAAUAAUUAUUUUUGGCUUGGGAUUCAGAUGGUUCUACAUGAACAAUACAUACUAUAAGAAACACUAGUGCAAUUGCUACACUUCUUCUUGCUUUUACUCCUUCCAUAAUUCUAAUUUUUUUUUUUACCUAUGUUACCACUACUUAACUUUGAUUGUUAUUGAACCUUGUGAUUGAAGAUUACAUGAAGCGUUUUUA